CCUACGGGGGGCAGCAGUGAGGAAUAUUGGUCAAUGGGCGCAGGCCUGAACCAGCCAAGUCGCGUGAGGGAAGACUGCCCUAUGGGUUGUAAACCUCUUUUAUAAGGGAAGAAUAAUGACUACGUGUAGUCAGAUGCCCGUACCUUAUGAAUAAGCAUCGGCUAACUCCGUGCCAGCAGCCGCGGUAAUACGGAGGAUGCGAGCGUUAUCCGGAUUUAUUGGGUUUAAAGGGUGCGUAGGCGGUAUUUUAAGUUAGUGGUAAAACGUCGGGGCUUCACCUUGAUUGGCCAUUAAAACUGGAGUAC
rnacentral:rRNA from 1 species